rnacentral:rRNA from 1 species
CCGAAACGGNGUAUAGGGAGGUCCAGUAGGACCCUGCCCAGUGACUACAAGUUCCCUUAAUUAAAUAGAGACCUGUAUGAAUGGCUAAACGAGGGCUUAACUGUCUCCCCUUUCCAGUCAUUUUACCUUCGGUUGGGGCGACCACGGAGGAAAACAAAGCCUCCAAGUGGAUUGGGACAAUCUGACCAAACAUGAUCCGGCUGCCCGAAGCCGAUCAACGAACCAAGUUACCCUAGGGAUAACAGCGCAAUCCUCUCCCAGAGUCCAUAUCGACGAGAGGGUUUACGACCUCGAUGUUGGAUCAGGACAUCCUAAUGGUGCAGCCGCUAUUAAGGGUUCGUUUGUUCAACGAUUAAAGUCCUACAUGAUCUGAUUUCAGACCGGA